AACGAACGUUGGCGGCGUGGAUGAGGCAUGCAAGUCGAACGCGAAAGCCGCAAGGUGAGUAGAGUGGCGGACGGGCGAGUAACACGUAAUCAAGCUACCUGCGAGACGGGGAUAACCUCGGGAAACCGAAGCUAAAACCCGAUGGUUUGCGCGGACCGCAUGGUCCAUGCAAUAAAUGGGCGGGAUCCUCCGGGACCGCCUGCUCGCAGAGGUGAUUGCGGCCCAUCAGCUAGUUGGUAGGGUAACGGCCUACCAAGGCAACGACGGGUAGCCGGCCUUAGAGGGUGGUCGGCCGCACUGGGACUGAGACACUGCCCAGACUCCUACGGGAGGCUGCAGUCGAGAAUCUUCCGCAAUGGGCGAAAGCCUGACGGAGCGACGCCGCGUGGAGGACGAAGGCC
rnacentral:rRNA from 1 species